rnacentral:rRNA from 1 species
UGGGGAAUAUUGCGCAAUGGACGAAAGUCUGACGCAGCGACGCCGCGUGAGGGAUGAAGGUCUUCGGAUCGUAAACCUCUGUCAGGAGGGAAGAAAGCGCAUGGCGCCAAUCAGUCAUGCGUUGACGGUACCUCCAAAGGAAGCGCCGGCUAACUCCGUGCCGGCAGCCGCGGUAAUACGGAGGGCGCAAGCGUUAAUCGGAAUUACUGGGCGUAAAGCGCGCGUAGGCUGUUGUGUAAGUCAGGGGUGAAAGCCCGCGGCUUAACCGCGGAACUGCCCUUGAUACUGCGCGACUUGAAUCCGGAGAGGUGGCGGAAUUCCAGGUGUAGGAGUGAAAUCCGUAGAUAUCUGGAGGAACACCAGUGGCGAAGGCGGCCACCUGGACCGGAAAUUUGACGCUGAGGCGCGAAAGCGUGGGGAGCAAACAGGAUUAGAUACC